rnacentral:rRNA from 1 species
GCAAGUCGAACGCGAGAGAGGCUUCGGCCUCAAUUGAGUGGCAAACGGGUGAGUAACACGUGGGUGACCUACCUUCGAGUGGGGGAUAACGUCCCGAAAGGGACGCUAAUACCGCAUAACAUCCUGUUCUUGAACGGAUGGAGAUCAAAGCCGGGGAUCGCAAGACCCGGCGCUUGAUGAGGGGCCCGCGUCUGAUUAGCUAGUUGGUGAGGUAACGGCCCACCAAGGCGACGAUCAGUAUCCGGCCUGAGAGGGCGGACGGACACACUGGGACUGAGACACUGCCCAGACUCCUACGGGAGGCAGCAGUGGGGAAUUGUUCACAAUGGGCGCAAGCCUGAUGACGCACGCCGCGUGGAGGAUGAAGGUCUUCGGAUUGUAAACUCCUGUUGCUCGGGACGAAAAGCCUCGACCUAAUACGUCGAGGUCUGACGGUACCGAGUGAGGAAGCCCCGGCUAACUCUGUGCCAGCAGCCGCGGUAAUACAGAGGGGGCAAGCGUUGUUCGGAAUUACUGGGCGUAAAGGGCGCGUAGGCGGCCCGCUAAGUCGAACGUGAAAUCCCCGAGCUCAACUCGGGAACUGCGUCCGAUACUGGCGGGCUUGAAUCCGGGAGAGGGAUGCGGAAUUCCAGGUGUAGCGGUGAAAUGCGUAGAUAUCUGGAGGAACACCGGUGGCGAAGGCGGCAUCCUGGACCGGCAUUGACGCUGAGGCGCGAAAGCUAGGGGAGCAAACGGGAUUAGAUACCCCGGUAGUCCUAGCCCUAAACGAUGAAUGCUUGGUGUGGCGGGUAUCGAUCCCUGCCGUGCCGAAGCUAACGCAUUAAGCAU